rnacentral:rRNA from 1 species
UAGGGAAUCUUCCGCAAUGGACGCAAGUCUGACGGAGCAACGCCGCGUGAGUGAAGAAGGAUUUCGGUUCGUAAAACUCUGUUGUUAGAGAAGAACAGCGCAUAGAGUAACUGUUAUGCGUGUGACGGUAUCUAACCAGAAAGCCACGGCUAACUCCGUGCCAGCAGCCGCGGUAAUACGUAGGUGGCAAGCGUUGUCCGGAUUUAUUGGGCGUAAAGCGAGCGCAGGCGGUCAAUUAAGUCUGGUGUGAAAGCCCCCGGCUCAACCGGGGGGGGUCAUUGGAAACUGGUUGACUUGAGUGCAGAAGAGGAGGGUGGAAUUCCAUGUGUAGCGGUGAAAUGCGUAGAUAUAUAGAGGAACACCAGUGGCGAAGGCGACUCUCUGGUCUGUAACUGACGCUGAGGCUCGAAAGCGUGGGUAGCAAAGAGG